CAGCCGCCACGGUAAUACGUAGGGUGCGAGCGUUAAUCGGAAUUACUGGGCGUAAAGCGGGCGCAGACGGUUACUUAAGCGGGAUGUGAAAUCCCCGGGCUCAACCUGGGAACUGCGUUCUGAACUGGGUGACUAGAGUGUGUCAGAGGGAGGUAGAAUUCCACGUGUAGCAGUGAAAUGCGUAGAGAUGUGGAGGAAUACCGAUGGCGAAGGCAGCCUCCUGGGAUAACACUGACGUUCAUGCCCGAAAGCGUGGGUAGCAAACAGGAUUAGAGACCCCAGUAGUCCCUGUCUCUUAUAC
rnacentral:rRNA from 1 species